AUUGAACGCUGGCGGCAUGCCUUACACAUGCAAGUCGAACGGUAACAGGUCUUCGGAUGCUGACGAGUGGCGAACGGGUGAGUAAUACAUCGGAACGUGCCCGAUCGUGGGGGAUAACGGAGCGAAAGCUUUGCUAAUACCGCAUACGAUCCACGGAUGAAAGCAGGGGACCGCAAGGCCUUGCGCGGACGGAGCGGCCGAUGGCGGAUUAGGUAGUUGGUGGGGGAAAAGCUUACUAAGCCGAAGAACUGUAGCUGGUCUGAGAGGACGACCAGCCACACUGGGACUGAGACACGGCCCAGACUCCGACGGGAGGCAGCAGUGGGGAAUUUUGGACAAUGGGCGAAAGCCUGAUCCAGCCAUGCCGCGUGCAGGAUGAAGGCCUUCGGGUUGUAAACUGCUUUUGUACGGAACGAAAAUCCUCUUUCUAAUAAAGAGAGGUCAUGACGGUACCGUAAGAAUAAGCACCGGCUAACUACGUGCCAGCCGCCGCCGUAAAAC
rnacentral:rRNA from 1 species